GAGAGGCCCAAACGUUAUUCGGAAUUACUGGGCUUAAAGAGUUCGUAGGCGGCGCANAAAGUAGGGUGUGAAAGCCCUCGGCUUAACCGAGGAAUUGCGCCCUAAACUACUGUGCUUGAGGAACCUAGAGGUGAGCAGAACAGAUGGUGGAGCGGUGAAAUGCGUUGAUAUCAUCUGGAAUACCGGAGGCGAAGGCGGCUCACUGGGGGUUUUCUGACGCUGAGGAACGAAAGCCAGGGUAGCGAACGGGAUUAGAUACCCCGGUAGUCCUGGCCGUAAACGAUGAGCACUAGGCCGGAGGGCUGCACAGCCUUUCGGCCGUAGCUAAAGUGUUAAGUGCUCCGCCUGGGGAGUAUGGUCGCAAGGCUG
rnacentral:rRNA from 1 species